rnacentral:rRNA from 1 species
UACGUAGGGGGCAAGCGUUGUCCGGAAUCAUUGGGCGUAAAGAGCUCGUAGGCGGUUUGUCGCGUCUGCUGUGAAAUCCCGAGGCUCAACCUCGGGCUUGCAGUGGGUACGGGCAGACUAGAGUGCGGUAGGGGAGAUUGGAAUUCCUGGUGUAGCGGUGGAAUGCGCAGAUAUCAGGAGGAACACCGAUGGCGAAGGCAGAUCUCUGGGCCGUAACUGACGCUGAGGAGCGAAAGCGUGGGGAGCGAACAGG